rnacentral:rRNA from 1 species
GGGUCAGUAGGUUGGUCGUGCCACCGGUACGUACUGGUCUCACUGAUUCCUCCUUCCUGAAGAACCGUAAUGCCAUUAAUUUGGUGUUGCGGGGAAACAGGACUGUUACUUUGAAAUAAUUAGAGUGUUUAAUGCAAGCUAACGCUUGAAUACAUUAGGAUGGAAUAAUGAAUUAGGACGAUCGAUCCUAUUUUGUUGGUUUCUAGGAUUGACGUA